GACGAACGCUGGCGGCGUGCCUAAUACAUGCAAGUCGAGCGGACCGAAUAGAAGCUUGCUUCUAUUUGGUUAGCGGCGGACGGGUGAGUAACACGUGGGCAACCUGCCCUGUAGACGGGGAUAACACCGAGAAAUCGGUGCUAAUACCGGAUAACACGGAAUGUCGCAUGACGUUUCGUUGAAAGGCGGCGCAAGCUGUCGCUACAGGAUGGGCCCGCGGCGCAUUAACUAGUUGGUGAGGUAACGGCUCACCAAGGCGACGAUGCGUAGCCGACCUGAGAGGGUGAUCGGCCACACUGGGACUGAGACACGGCCCAG
rnacentral:rRNA from 1 species